rnacentral:rRNA from 1 species
AGUGAACGCUGGCGGUAGGCCUAACACAUGCAAGUCGAACGGCAGCACAGUAAGAGCUUGCUCUUACGGGUGGCGAGUGGCGGACGGGUGAGGAAUACAUCGGAAUCUACUUUUUCGUGGGGGAUCACGUAGGGAAACUUACGCUAAUACCGCAUACGACCUACGGGUGAAAGCCGGGGAUCUUCGGACCUUGCGCGAUUGAAUGAGCCGAUGUCGGAUUAGCUAGUUGGCGGGGUAAAGGCCCACCAAGGCGACGAUCCGUAGCUGGUCUGAGAGGAUGAUCAGCCACACUGGAACUGAGACACGGUCCAGACUCCUACGGGAGGCAGCAGUGGGGAAUAUUGGACAAUGGGCGCAAGCCUGAUCCAGCCAUACCGCGUGGGUGAAGAAGGCCUUCGGGUUGUAAAGCCCUUUUGUUGGGAAAGAAAAGCAGCAGGUUAAUACCCCGCUGUUCUGACGGUACCCAAAGAAUAAGCACCGGCUAACUUCGUG